AAACAAUAAAUGGUCAAUCAACCUUUGGAGACAGUGAAUUCAAUUUGGACACAAAACAUUUCAAAAAAUUUUGGACAAAAAAAAAGUUUCUUGUUUUAUUUUUUUAGGCCAAGGGACAAUAAUUCUUGUAUGAUCAAUCUCAUACAGGUUCAUGUUCAGCUUCUUAACAAUUACAAGGUAAAAUUUCUCUUAUUAGAAAAGGAAAAUAUUUUACAACACGAGUUCUCAUUGUUUGAAAAAAAAAAAGAGGGGUUUCUAUUAAUUUUUUAUAGAGUUCAUACCAAUUAAAAUUAGUUAUAUACAACAAUUUAUCUACUAAAGACGGACAAGUAAUAAACUCUUGCCAUAAAGCAAUUUAUAUUUUUUACUAAUUUGAUUUGUACAAAUUGCUUAUUUACUUCCUUCCCCUAAUUGAAAAAACGAUGAAAGGUAUACUCCCAUUUUAGUUUAUAUGAUAAACUACUAUUUAUUACUUUUUAAUAAAUUCUUGAAAAGUUCACUUAUAUAUUUGAUUUGCCCAUGGUUGAUAUUCACUACAUAGGUUACGAAUUUCUUUUUUUUUUUUUAAGUUCAAGAGAGACUCUAGCCUUAUAAGAAAGAAGAUGGGUACUUUCUUUUUUUAUCGGACACGAUAAAUUUUAUUGUAUACACAUUCCUACUUUAUAUUAGGAUGAGAAGGGAACCCAAAGGAGUUAAAAGAGAAAUCUGCGAAGACUGAACUAUCAUCGGUCCAAAUAGGUGCCUAUGCACCCCUAACAAAAUUUUCCAGGAAUAAGAUGGGUACUUGGGAGUCAUCUGUUUCAUGUCUAUACUAGGUAAACUUCUUUUCACCUAGUGACCUGGUUAAGAAAUUUUUUCCUUUCUUUUUCUUGAGUAAUAAUUCUGUUUUUUCUUACAAACAAUGAAAUUAAUCUUGCAAGCAAUAUAACGAAUUCAUUUUCUUAUAUCACCAAGCAUCAUGUAGAGUCGUGGCUAAUGUUGAAAUCUCAAAAACUAGAGAUUUUGGAUUUUAAUUCAUUGCUUCCUCCCCC
rnacentral:lncRNA from 1 species